AAUCAUAUGCUAUAUUAAGAAUGUAGUUAAUACUAACUACUAGUCUUUUAUAUUCAUGAACAUAUUACUCUUUGAGAGCGACACAUCAGUGUCGCUCUUUUUUUU
rfam:Staphylococcus saprophyticus strain CNV2 Spades_3, whole genome shotgun sequence.